rnacentral:lncRNA from 1 species
AGCUGGAGCUAUGAGUCGUGCUUGGUGGCGUUGGCAACAUAAGUAUGUACAACCAAAGCGGGCGGGUAUUGCCCCGUUUUUCCAAAUAACUUUUGCUGCUAUGACUUUCUUCUAUCUCAUUAACUAUGGCAAAAUGAGACACCAUAGAAACUACAA